rnacentral:rRNA from 1 species
UUUUUACACGGACGAAGGAGUCCAGUGCGCGCGCGAGUCCCCGGGACUUGAUUAGGCCCGAGGGCGCAAUGAAAGUGAAGGGCGUUUCGGACGUCCGAGUCGGGAUGCUCUUUUCGAGCCGCACCGACGGCCCGUCUCAUGCGACUUCGCUGAGGCGGAGCAAGAGCGCGCGCCCUGGGACCCGAAAGAUGGUGACCUAUGCCUGGACAGGAUGAAGCCAGAGGAAACUCUGGUGGAGGUCCGUAGCGGUUCUGACGUGCAAAUCGAUCGUCGGAUCUGGGCAUAGCAGCGAAAGACUCAUCGAACCAUCUAGUAGCUGUUUUCCCUCCGAA